rnacentral:rRNA from 1 species
UACGUAGGUGGCAAGCGUUGUCCGGAUUUACUGGGCGUAAAGAGCGCGCAGGCGGUCGUUCAAGUCGCGUGUGAAAGCCCCCGGCUCAACUGGGGAGGGUCGUUGGGGACGGCGGGGCUUGAGGGCGGGAGAGGUCGGUGGAAUUCCCGGUGUAGUGGUGAAAUGCGUAGAGAUCGGGAGGAACACCUGUGGCGAAGGCGGCCGACUGGGCCGACCCUGACGCUGAGGCGCGAAGGCGUGGGGAGCGAACCGG